UACGAAGGGGGCGAGCGUUGUUCGGAUUUACUGGGCGUAAAGGGCGCGCAGGCGGUUCUGUUUGUCGGGUGUGAAAGCCCCGGGCUCAACCUGGGAACGGCGCUCGAAACGGCGGGACUAGAGAUCGGGAGAGGAGCGUGGAAUUCCCAGUGUAGAGGUGAAAUUCGUAGAUAUUGGGAAGAACACCGGUGGCGAAGGCGGCGCUCUGGACCGAGACUGACGCUGAGGCGCGAAAGCGUGGGGAGCAAACAGG
rnacentral:rRNA from 1 species